rnacentral:rRNA from 1 species
UACGUAGGUGACAAGCGUUAUCCGGAAUUACUGGGCGUAAAGGGCGCGCAGGCGGUCGUUCAAGUCGGGUGUGAAAGCCCCCGGCUCAACUGGGGAGGGUCACUCGAUACUGAUCGACUUGAAGGCAGGAGAGGGAAGCGGAAUUCCCGGUGUAGUGGUGAAAUGCGUAGAUAUCGGGAGGAACACCAGUGGCGAAGGCGACUACCUGGCCUGUUCUUGACGCUGAGGCGCGAAAGCUAGGGGAGCAAACGGG